GCGGCCGUAGCAAUACGGCAGCGGCAGACGGGAGAGUAACACGUGGGAACGUGCCCAUCAGUUCGGAACAACCCAGGGAAACUUGGGCUAAUACCGGAUACGCCCUUACGGGGAAAGAUUUAUCGCUGAUGGAGCGGCCCGCGUCUGAUUAGCUUGUUGGUGAGGUAACGGCUCACCAAGGCGACGAUCAGUAGCUGAUCUGAGAGGAUGAUCAGCCACACCGGGACUGAGACACGGCCCAGACUCCUACGGGAGGCAGCAGUGGGGAAUCUUGGACAAUGGGCGCAAGCCUGAUCCAGCCAUGCCGCGUGAGUGAAGAAGGCCUUAGGG
rnacentral:rRNA from 1 species